rnacentral:tRNA from 1 species
CAGGUGAGCGGCCCAGACAGCGGGGCACCGGUUUGUGAUGCCGGCGAAGAGAGUGCGACUCCCUUCCACCUGACCA